UAACACAUCUUAUCAAAUGUGCUUUUUUCAUCUUGCUACAGAAAAUGAACUCACUAAACGUAUCUUUCUCUCUCUGUCUGUCUUUUUCUGUCUCACACACAGACACACACAAGUUUGUUUUUCUAGACCUAUUAUUACUUUAUUAAAUCAAUCCUCCAGCUGCUGCUGGCAUUUUUACUAAAGCCAGGAAGAUAGAGCACAUCAGCCCAGUUCUAAAGUCCUUACACUGGCUCCAUGUAGCUCAGAGAAUAGACUUUAAGAUACUGCUGUUGGUUUAUAGAUCACUGAACGGCUUAGCACCACAAUACAUUAAAGAUCUGUUGUUAUUGUAUCAACCUUCCAGUUCACUCAGGUCUCUGGUUCUAAUCUUCGGAAUCUUGAACAAACUUCCAGAAAACUGCAAAACAGCUGAAACACUGAGUUCCUUUAAUCAAGAUUAAAAACCCAUUUGUUUAGAGUUGGCCUUAAUUAAUAAAAACUGGAACACAGAUAAGAUGUGAUGUAAGUUUUGUUUGUUUACUGUGUUAUUUUUCAUCUUGUCAAACAGAUUUAAUUGACUCGAAAUGUGUUUUACAAAUAAAGUUGACUUAUUGACUUUCCUUAUCUGAUACAAUAUUUCUUUGGACCUGUGAGCAAACAUUACCAAAUUAGAAGUACAAGCUGAGUGUAUGUAUCUCUGAACUGUUUUGUAUGUGAUAUCUGCUGGCUUUGUCUGACUGCAAACCUUUUUUCCUCUGCAGACCUGCAUCCAAAUCUCUGGGGAGCUGGCCGGGCGGCAAAACCAGAAGCUUCCAGCUUUGGGAACAUAAAGGUUUUUAAAGUCGCUGCGGUCUCCACAGUAACAAGCAGUACUAAUUUCAAAGCUAGUUGCACAGUCAGCUUUUGACCCUUGAAUCUGCAGUCAGAGGAUGCCCAGCAUCACUACCUUAUUAAAACAAUUUCUCUCUCCCAGUUGGCCUGCUUUGUUGUUUACAGUUUUGUUCUCUCAGAAGUAACCCUGUAACAUGGAGGAUGAGCCCAAGCCAGCAUCCGUGUAUUUAUGACGCUUGUUCUCCGUAAUAUGUCUGUCUCGCUCCGUGUGCAUGUAUUCUUUUGUGUGUGAGCUCUGUCAGAGCUCAUGAUGAGUCAUGGCUCAGUCUGGAGCCUCUGCAACACGGCAGGGAGUUUAGAAUAUAGAGCAGAUCCAGUGUUUCACCAACAGAGAGACGGGGAGACGCUCACACACAGUGGUGGUUAUGCAGUCGUGACCUGGGUUGGUGAGUUUUCACUCUAACUUUCUGCUGCUGCCCUGAUCAAUGACUUGGAUUUAAGCUAUUUGAUGUCAUACAUCAAAGGUGAAAUAAGGACUUUACAGGAGGAACUGUCUCCAAUUUACCCAGGUGAGUUUCCAUAGCAUCCUAAAUCUAUUUGAGUAAAGCUGCAGAGUUAAUUCAUAUUUGACAAAAAGUCUGUCUCAAAGAAUAAAGCUGUAUGUCCUGCAAAAACACAGUUUGGUACAUGACUUAA